AUACGUAGGGGGCGAGCGUUGUCCGGAAUGAUUGGGCGUAAAGGGCGCGUAGGCGGCUUUGCAAGUCAGUAGUGGAAGUCCAUUUUUCAAGGAUGGAAGUGCUACAGAAACUGCGGAGCUUGAGUGCAGGAGAGGUUAUCGGAAUUCCCGGUGUAGCGGUGAAAUGCGUAGAGAUCGGGAGGAACACCAGUGGCGAAGGCGGGUAACUGGACUGCAACUGACGCUGAGGCGCGAAAAUGUGGGGAGCAAACAGGAUUAGAUACCCUGGUAGUCCACACUGUGAACGAUGAAUUCAAGGUGUAGGAAGUAUCGACCCCUUUUGUGCCGGAGUCAAAACAAUAAGCAUUCCGCCUGGGGAGUACGGUCGCAAGGUUGAAGCUCAAAGGAAUUGACGGGG
rnacentral:rRNA from 1 species